AACGGCGAGUGAAGCGGCAACAGCUCAAAUUUGAAAUCUGGCCCUCGGGUCCGAGUUGUAAUUUGUAGAGGAUGCUUUUGGUGCGGUGCCUUCCGAGUUCCCUGGAACGGGACGCCAUAGAGGGUGAGAGCCCCGUCUGGUCGGACACCAAGCCUCUGUAAAGCUCCUUCGACGAGUCGAGUAGUUUGGGAAUGCUGCUCUAAAUGGGAGGUAUAUGUCUUCUAAAGCUAAAUACCGGCCAGAGACCGAUAGCGCACAAGUAGAGUGAUCGAAAGAUGAAAAGCACUUUGAAAAGAGAGUUAAACAGUACGUGAAAUUGUUGAAAGGGAAGCGCUUAUGACCAGACUUGGGCCUGUCGGAUCAACCUGGGUUCUCCUGGGUGCACUCCUUCAGGUUCAGGCCAGCAUCAGUUCGGCGCGGGGGACAAAGGCUUCGGGAAUGUGGCUCCCCCCGGGGAGUGUUAUAGCCCGUUGCGUAAUACCCUGCGCUGGACUGAGGUUCGCGCAUCUUGCAAGGAUGCUGGCGUAAUGGUCAUCAGCGACCCGUCUUGAAACACGGACCAAGGAGUCGUCUUCGUAUGCGAGUGUUCGGGUGUUAAACCCCUACGCGUAAUGAAAGUGAACGCAGGUGAGAGCUUCGGCGCAUCAUCGACCGAUCCUGAUGUUCUCGGAUGGAUUUGAGUAAGAGCAUACGGGGCCGGACCCGAAAGAAGGUGAACUAUGCCUGUGUAGGGUGAAGCCAGAGGAAACUCUGGUGGAGGCUCGCAGCGGUUCUGACGUGCAAAUCGAUCGUCAAACAUGGGCAUGG
rnacentral:rRNA from 1 species